UCAGCACACACCGCCGGACGACGGGUGAGUAACACGUGAGUAACCUGCCCCUGACUCUGGGAUAAGCCUGGGAAACUGGGUCUAAUACUGGAUAUGCACCGUAGACCGCAUGGUUUUUGGUGGAAAGAAUUUUGGUCAGGGAUGGACUCGCGGCCUAUCAGCUUGUUGGUGAGGUAAUGGCUCACCAAGGCGACGACGGGUAGCCGGCCUGAGAGGGUGACCGGCCACACUGGGACUGAGACACGGCCCAGACUCCUACGGGAGGCAGCAGUGGGGAAUAUUGCACAAUGGGCGAAAGCCUGAUGCAGCGACGCCGCGUGAGGGAUGACGGCCUUCGGGUUGUAAACCUCUUUCAGUAGGGAAGAAGCGAAAGUGACGGUACCUGCAGAAGAAGCGCCGGCUAACUACGUGCCAGCAGCCGCGGUAAUACGUAGGGCGCAAGCGUUAUCCGGAAUUAUUGGGCGUAAAGAGCUCGUAGGCGGUUUGUCGCGUCUGCCGUGAAAGUCCGAGGCUCAACUUCGGAUCUGCGGUGGGUACGGGCAGACUAGAGUGAUGUAGGGGAGACUGGAAUUCCUGGUGUAGCGGUGAAAUGCGCAGAUAUCAGGAGGAACACCGAUGGCGAAGGCAGGUCUCUGGGCAUCUACUGACGCUGAGGAGCGAAAGCAUGGGGAGCGAACAGGAUUAGAUACCCUGGUAGUCCAUGCCGUAAACGUUGGGCAC
rnacentral:rRNA from 1 species